rfam:Nitritalea halalkaliphila LW7 Contig65, whole genome shotgun sequence.
CCUCCCAAGGCAAAUCCAUCAAAACAAGGAUUGAAAC